UCUGCGGCGCUGGGGCCCGAGGGGCGCGGGGGGCGCUGGGCUCCGGCGUCCCCUCUUCUGCUCACCGGAUCUCUGCGGCCGCCCAGUGCCAUCGCCCCACCCCGCAGCGCCGCCGCCUGCGGGCUCGCCCCCAGCUCCUAGCGACAGACGCCCACCCCUCGGACGCUCCCCACCCCAGCCUAGCCGGGAGGAAGGACAAGCCAGGCCUGGGGUCAGGACGGAGACCGCGGGGACCACAGUGCAGAUCCGUGCUGGGUGAGGCGCGGGCCUUAGAGCGGAGCCUUGAAGGCACCGACAGGCAGACAGAACAAUCUUUCCUCAGCACAAUCCUGGGAGAGGAAGGCCUAAAGCACUACAGUCUACAGCAUGGAGGCUUUGGUGCCUGGAAAAGACACCUGUGUAAGAAUUCUCUUCAAAGACUUCUCUCUGUCGGCCAGCCCUUCCAUUCUAGAAUCAACAUGAAAAUUAUUAAUGAGAGGUUUUAGGCCCUUUUCUCUGUCCACACUGAGCCACUGGAACCAUCUCCACGUGGGGGGGACCACACUCCUGGGCGACAGGGGCCUGCGCUGCCCUCCUGGGCCGGGACAGACCUGGACACCCGCAGACAUGUGCAGAGAUGUACUGAAGGUUUGUGCACGUCGAGUUCGUUAAGCCUCAAUUUUAAAAAAAGGAAGAGAUCCCAGUGAGCUGUGAUUGCACCACUGCCC